rnacentral:rRNA from 1 species
GACGUAGGGGGCCAGCGUUGCUCGGAAUUACUGGGCGUAAAGGGUUCGUAGGCGGUGCGGCAAGUCGGGAGUGAAAUCUCUGGGCUUAACUCAGGGGCUGCUUCCGAAACUGCCGUGCUUGAGUGCGGGAGAGGCGAGUGGAAUUGCAGGUGUAGCGGUGAAAUGCGUAGAUAUCAGGAGGAACACCAAUGGCGAAGGCAGCUCGCUGGGACGGUACUGACGCUGAGACGCGAAAGCGUGGGGAGCAAACAGG